GAUGAACGCUAGCUACAGGCUUAACACAUGCAAGUCGCGGGGCAGCAUGGGGGUUGCUUGCAAUCCCCGAUGGCGACCGGCGCACGGGUGAGUAACGCGUAUCCAACCUGCCCUUCACCACGGGAUAACCCGGCGAAAGUCGGACUAAUACCGUAUGUUGUCCAUUGACGGCAUCCGAUUUGGACGAAAGGUUUGGCGGUGAAGGAGGGGGAUGCGUCCGAUUAGGUGGACGGCGGGGUGACGGCCCACCGUGGCGACGAUCGGUAGGGGUUCUGAGAGGAAGGUCCCCCACACUGGAACUGAGACACGGUCCAGACUCCUACGGGAGGCAGCAGUGAGGAAUAUUGGUCAAUGGGCGUAAGCCUGAACCAGCCAAGUAGCGUGCAGGAUGACGGCCCUAUGGGUUGUAAACUGCUUUUAUGCGGGGAUAAAGUGGCCCACGUGUGGGUUUUUGCAGGUACCGCAUGAAUAAGGACCGGCUAAUUCCGUG
rnacentral:rRNA from 1 species